rnacentral:rRNA from 1 species
CCUACGGGAGGCAGCAGUGGGGAAUAUUGCACAAUGGAGGAAACUCUGAUGCAGCACCGCCGCGUGGAGGAUGACACUUUUCGGAGCGUAAACUCCUUUUAUAUAGGAAGAUAAUGACGGUACUAUAUGAAUAAGCACCGGCUAACUCCGUGCCAGCAGCCGCGGUAAU